AUUUAAGUAGUUUAGAUAAAAACAUUGAAUUGUGAAUUCAAAGAAAUAAUUAAGAUCUUAAAUU
rnacentral:tRNA from 1 species